GAAAAGAACCCCGGGAGGGGAGUGAAAUAGAACCUGAAACCCUGCACUUACAAGCUGUGGAAGCACAUUUCUUGUGUGACCGCGUACUUUUUGUAGAACGGGCCAACGAGUUACGUUAAGUAGCAAGGUUAAGCACUUAAGGUGUGGAGCCGUAGCGAAAGCGAGUUUUAACUGAGCGUUCAGUUACUUGACGUAGACCCGAAACCGGGCGACCUACCCAUGAGCAGGAUGAAGCGAAAGUAAAAUUUCGUGGAGGUCCGAACCCACGAGCGUUGAAAAGCUCGGGGAUGACUUGUGGGUAGCGGUGAAAUUCCAAUCGAGCCCGGAGAUAGCUGGUUCUCCCCGAAAUAGCUUUAGGGCUAGCCUCAAGGUGAGAGAUACGGAGGUAGAGCACUGAAUGUCCUAGGGGGUAUUGCACCUACCGAAGACUAUCAAACUCCGAAUGCCGUCAUCUUAUACUUGGGAGUCAGACUGUGGGUGAUAAGAUUCAUAGUCGAAAGGGCAACAGCCCAGAUCGUCAGCUAAGGUCCCUAAAUGUAAGUUAAGUGGUAAAGGAUGUGGGAUUGCACAGACAACCAGGAUGUUGGCUUAGAAGCAGCCACUCAUUCAAAGAGUGCGUAAUAGCUCACUGGUCGAGUGAUCCUGCGCCGAAGAUUUCCGGGGCUAAAACUUACUACCGAAGCUACGGCAUCAGUAAUGAUGGGUAGGGGAGCUUCCCAUACGGGUUGAAGCAUGACCGUAAGGACAUGUGGACAGUAUGGGAGUGAGAAUGUUGGCAUGAGUAGCGAGAUGUGGGUGAGAAUCCCACAGGCCGUAAACCCAAGGUUUCCAGGGGAAGGUUCGUCCGCCCUGGGUUAGUCGGGACCUAAGCUGAGGCCGAAAGGCGUAGG
rnacentral:rRNA from 1 species